UUAAUUGAAGAGUUUGAUCAUGGCUCAGAUUGAACGCUGGCGGCAGGCCUAACACAUGCAAGUCGAGCGGUAACAGGGGAAGCUUGCUUCUCGCUGACGAGCGGCGGACGGGUGAGUAAUGUAUGGGGAUCUGCCCGAUAGAGGGGGAUAACUACUGGAAACGGUAGCUAAUACCGCAUAAUCUCUUAGGAGCAAAGCAGGGGAACUUCGGUCCUUGCGCUAUCGGAUGAACCCAUAUGGGAUUAGCUAGUUGGUGAGGUAAUGGCUCACCAAGGCGACGAUCCCUAGCUGGUCUGAGAGGAUGAUCAGCCACACUGG
rnacentral:rRNA from 1 species